rnacentral:lncRNA from 1 species
CUAGCACACACCAAUAGGAUAAACAAGAACAAAUAAGUCCAAACUGUUCCUAUAUAUUUAAACUAGCCCCAUAUAAAUGUUCUGGACCAUUAAUGUACUUAUUUAUUCACAAGCCAAUUUAGUGUCGAAGCUGCUCAAGCAAAUAGCAAAGGCUUGAAAGGCAGAGAGAGGAUAGCUAUAGUCCAUAGUGAACAUGUCCUUACCCACUUUCCCAAACUGUAGUAUCACCUUAUCUGAUGGCCCUGGCUGCUGUGAUGGUCCUGAUGGUGUUGUAGUCACUGCUCUAGUAGCAUCACUGCCAGAAGAGGGCUGAACCGUUGCACCGGAGAUUAGCUGGAAGUUCUUAACCGAAGCAACUGUCACUCUCCCUCUGAAGUUAAGGCACCAGAACUUUAACUGUUGGUGCCACCUUGGCGUUUUAUUUCUCAGCACUAGAGGUCCAUCCUUUCCUUCUUUCUCUUGCGGUCCAAGUCCAACGAUGUCUAAGAACCGGGAGCUGCUGAAACCUCCCGAAUGUUCGAUAAUCGUUGAGGAAUCAAAGCCGCGGAAAGACUCAUCAAGGGAAUGUUCCAGAUUCUCCAGUUGGUCAGGGACAGUGCCGCGGGGCUCUAGAGCUAGGGAAGGGAUAGAGUGCAUAAUGCAGUGCAUCUUCCGAGGUCCACGGGGUCCAAGAAAGUUCAGCUCAUAUGUAACUUGAGCAAUGUUGUAACUUCCAGAUGGGACAUUGGGAGAGACUUUCUUGGAGAUGAACCUACAACUCCGGUUUGGCGGGGACAGUAUUUGGCAGCUGUUGUACGCAGGCACUGUAUCGUAUAUUAUGAACUUUGUCCCUAGAAAGUUAGACCUGAAAAUGAAGUUAUAGAACAUUAAGUAAGAAUUAAUCAAGAACUCAAUCAUAUUUUGGAAGAAUUAAAUUUUCUUUUUUUAUAAUCUUAUUCUUAAUUACCUCAUUUUGCCAAUGUAAGUACUACUUGAUCUUGAAUUGUUGUCUGCAUCCAUUGAUAUCACAUACUCUGUAUAUGUAGUCCUUCGUGUGCGCUUAGCCGAGAGAAGAAACUUUCCAUUUUCAACAAGUAAGGCUGUUCAAAGGAUAGUAAAUGAUCAGCCACUAGUAUAUAUCAAGAAUCAAAACUAAGUAAUACAGAAAAUUUAAUGUUGCUGUUAAUUUCAAGAACUUGAUUAGUAAAUGACCAAACAUAGUUUACUGAAGCAAAAGGUUUAGUAACAUCGAUAAAGACGAAUGACUUACAAUGACUAAGAGAAAGGUAAAGAUGGUAAGUCAUAUUAGACUUGUCCCUUUUGAUAAAACAAUGUAUGGUUCCGUCCCUAGGCCCGGGCUACACAAAUCAUAAAAGUGGUCAGAGAAACCGAGAUAAUAUCGAAUGGAAGUAACGAAUAACGAAACCCCGCACCUGUUUCAACGAAACCGGAAACGUGAGUUUACCCGAAAACUCAGGACUUUUGACAAUAUCUUUGCACAUUAAUCUCCAUGUCUUGCAGACACCAGCACAAGCAACAACUUGUUUACGAGCAGGCCACUUGCUCUCGCUUUCAUCCAACCUUCUCAUCACAUCUCGUAGUAUAGGAGCUGGCAAAUUAGCCCAACGAGUGUUCUUGAUUACAGCAAGAUCUUCACCAAGUGUCUUAACCAAUGCACCGUGAGAUUUACUCCUCUCAUGAGUCCCAUUAGACACUCUCACUUCGAAACCAUGUCUCGAAAAGCUUCCUAUACUAUCUCUAACAUCACGAACAAUGCUACGAAACGACAUUUCUCUUGAUACCAUAGCUUCUAACUUCAGACCAACGCUACAAAAACAUGAAAAAACAAACAUUAUGAGAAAAAUCUUAACAUAAAGUUCUCAAAUUACAGAGUAUAUAUAUAUAUUUUUUUGAUUAUACCAAAGCUACCUAAAUUAAAGAGUAUAAUAUCUAUAAUAAAUGUAAAUUAUGGAAAUGUUUUAGACAAAGAAACAAUUACAAAAGUUAGGUGGAACUAACCAAAAUCACCAUAGUACAAGUUAGACUAAAUCUUGAUACUGCCACAAUUUCAAGAAAACAAAAUCUUUAGAUAACCAUACUAACUUAAACCUUUUUGACCUAACUUAAACCUUUUCGACUCGAAAAACCUAAAAAUUCAAGAACACAACAAAAUAAAGAGAUUCAAAGCUAAAGCCAUAUAUCUUGAGAGCCAAAGGUUAGAUCUUUAGGUAUAUAUAUGUAGCAAAGCAAAGAGAUCAAAGCUAAACCCAUAAACCAAAAAACAGUUUCCUUUUCAAAUUCAACAAAGCUUCAUUAGCUUUUCAAGAAUCUUGAAACCCAAAGGUUAGUCCCAAAGCCAAACCCAUAAAAGAAAAAAAGUUUGAAAAUUAAAGAACACAGAUCAAAGAAGACUAACCCUUAAUUUUUUUCUUCAGUUUGAAGUAUCUCUCUGAUCUUUUUGGUCUCUCUCUGAUAUUUCUUACUUGUAAAGAGUUGCGGAUCUCAAAACUUUAUCAAAUAGAGUAUAACUUUAUGAACUUGUAAUAAAGUCCAAUUUUUUUUUUUGGUUCAGAUAUACUAUUUUUAGAAAUCAGUGUUUUAUAUUUGGAAAUAGUAACAAUUUUAUUUAAUUUAAACGUCUCAAAAUGAGUAAAUUACAUUUCAUUAUUUUGUAUGAUUCGAUGAUCAAAUGACACGAGUACAAUGGUCUUUACUUAGGAUGCUUAAUUGUAGGCUUUGUAGCCAAGAUGUUGAAGAGUCUCUAUUACUUUUUUUUUCUUUUUUUUUUUAUGAAUUUGUUAAAGCAAGUAGAGACAAAGUCUUAUUACGAUGGUAAUUUUAACAAGUAGGAAAACUAAGUUAAACCAGAAACAAAAACAAAAGUUUAGUACUUAGUAUUAGUUAAAAUUAGCUCGAAACAUGCGCUAUGCUGCAAGAUUUUUUCCUAAAUCAUAAUUUAAUAUAAGUUGUUUGAAAUGCAGUAUGAUAUAAUUUAAUGCUAAUAUUUAUCCCGUAAUGUACGGUGAGACAAAAUUUACUCUUUGAAAAUUUAAAUUUUCUGGAAAUUACAAAGAUUUGUUGGAAUUUGUUAAUAAUUAUUGAAAUUACAUAAUACCAAUUUUUAAUAAAUCAUUUGAUUGGUCAUAUCUUAUAUUGAUGUUAAUAAGAUUAGUAAAAUAUUGAUUUAACCAGUAUUGAAGUAUUAAACUCGUUCCGUUAUACAGUCCGUCCGAGUUAUUCUAAAUUUUUCCAUUAAGUUUCAGUAUAUCAAUUAUAAUAUUUUAAACUUCUGAAAAGUAUCAAAAUUGACUAUAUACGAUAAAAAUAAAGAAUUCACCUAAACUUCGAAUUAAAUGAUUUUAAACUUUGGAUGCUUAUUAAGUGAAACUUUAUACUCAUUCAGAUUUGAAUUCAUUUUGAUCUUAUAUAUAAUAUGACUCUGAAACAUUCUCUAAAUAUUUGAACUGAUAUGGGAUGUCGAACACACACUUUUCUAUUAAUUGAGUGAUAUACGUCCAUUUAAAAAAAAUUCAAACCACAAAACUUGUAAAAAAUUAUUAACUUUAUGUAUUAUUGAUUAUAAAAAAUAACUAGAAAAUAAAAUGAAACAAAUAUGAUAGGAGAAUCAUAAUUUCAGAUCUUUAAAAAAUGAAAAAAAUGCACAAUAACCUACUUUUACUCAAACUAUUUACCAAAAAACCCACUUCUUACUACCUCUAUAUUUUUUACUAUGAAAAUGACUAUUAACCCCUUCAAAAGCUUUAACUCUUUUCUUUCCUCUCAUUUAUCUAAUUUCUUCAAAAGCUUCUCUCUUUCUCUCUCUUUCUCUAAAGUCAUUCUCCUUAGCUUCUCUCUCUUUUCUUUUACUAGUAUUUUAAUCAAGCAAAACAAAGGGUUUUUGCUCUUUUCUAUUGUUUCACUUCUUUCUUCAAAGUUUUAAUUUAUUUUCAUGUGUUCUAUGAAUCGUUUUCUUUUGCUAUGAGAGAAAAUGUUUCUUCUUUUUUCUUUCGUUUACUUCAAAAUUUUGAAGAUUUUGCGUUAGAAAAGCCAUAGAGAGAGAGAGAGAGAUAGAAAGAAAGAUUUAAACUUUCAAGUGAAUUUUUAGGGUUUCUAAAAUGGGGGAAAUAGCAAUCAUAUGGUUCAACAGAGACAAUUUCAUAUCGAAAGUAAUCAUAAUACUAGUAUGAACGAUAUCAUGUUGACAAAAAAUCUUCAUUGUGGGAUAAGCCUGGGAGACGGAGAGAGAUACAAUGAGCCGUUACUUUGAACAGUUUGGUGACAAUAGUUGUUCUUUGGGAGACGCAUACAGAAUCAAUUUCACGAGAAUUGACUUCUACAUGAGAAUUGUUGAACUUCAUGGACAACAAAAAUGUUGGAACAUGUGGACAUUGCCUCGUGGACACCAAUAACACACCAAAGUCACCUCGAUACAACAACCAUAUUGUAGAGAAAGACAAACACUAUAUUGGUAUAAGGAGAAAGAGAUACUUCACGCGGAUGAGAUUUUGCUAUGCAAUUGCUCUAUUUAGUAUCAACCAGAUGACUCGGAAUUCCAUCUGGACAUGAUUGUAUGGAUUAUAACUAACUAACAAUUCAACAUCAACAAAGAAAUAACAAUGCAUAAGUUUAGAUUUUAGUGUUUAUGGUUUAGGAUUUAGUGGUUAGAUUUAGGACUUAAGGUUUAAGGACAUGUUGUGUACAUGUUUUAGCAAUUAUAAAGCAAUUUCAUACUUCAACGAUGCCUCUCCUUCUACCUUUUUGAAAUAAUUUAUUUACUUUCACUCUAGCUUCGUUUUCAUCUUCCAAUGUUUUUUUGUUAACUUAAUUUUCAUAUUCCAUUGUUUCUCUUUUCACCUAGAUACAUUGGCCACAUAUAUCCAUGUGGUUACAGUAGUGUGGAUAUGCUUGGAUGUUCACUAAAAUAUUUGGAGGUUAGAAUGUAGUGUGUGAUUUAUGCUUUUGGUUUUAGAUUUAAAUUAAAUUGGAAAAGGGUUAAGGUUUGAGAUUCAUGGUUUAUGUUUAGAGUUUAGUGUUAAAGAUUAGAUUUUAAGGAUUAGGGUUUAGGGUUUAGGGCUUAAGGGCUAAAUGUAUAUGAUUUAGGAUUUAGGGUUUAGGUUCCCUUGUUGCAGCUUCAAAUCCAUAGGAAGCUAUUGAGUUGAUAAGAGUUAAGAACUUCAUGUUUUGGAAUUGGGAUUUAAAGUUUAUGGUUUAGGGGUUAGGGUAUACGGUUUAAGGUAUAGGGGUUAAGAUGUUUGUUUGAUAUUUGUUUAUGAUUGUUUUACCAAAUCAUAAAAUUUUUCAUGAAAUAAGUUUUACUAUGUUUUUAUAUUACUAAACACAUAAUAAUUAUAAAUACAAAUAGAAUAAUACAUAAACAAUACUUUAACUGAUCAUCCACUUAUCAUUGAACAUAUGUUCAAGUACAAAUGGAUAGUAUGUAAUAUAAUAAUAAAUCUAAAAUAUAGCAAUAUGUAUCUUGAAAUGUAAAGAAAAAUAUAAACACAACAUAUUGUAUAAAAAUAGUUAGAUAAAUUUUGACAAUAAGAAGCUAAAAUGAAAACAAUAAAAAAAAGACAUGUAAAAAGUGAGAGAGAAGAAGAGUGAAAGAUAGAAGAAACGAUUAAAAAACAAAAGAACUCAGCUUUUCUUUAUUUUGUUCUCUACUACUUCAAGGGAAAAAAUGUUAGAGGAGGUAGGAUGGUCAGUUGGUCAGAUCUAGUAUGGAUCGUACAUGGACGGUAGCUGGAGUCGGCUCUAAAAUUAUUUUCAAUAAUAUGAAAGUUACAGAUAAAGUACACCUAUAGCUAAAAGUAUAUUAUUUGGCAAAAACAAAAGAACUCAAUAAUGAAGUUAGAGCUACAUGAUUCUAUAUGAGAAUAAUAGUCUACAACUUAUAUUAGACUAUAAUUACAUUUAUUAAUUAAUUAUCAUAUUCAAAACAAUUAAAAAAAGAGAAAUUUGUUAACUCUUCCAUGUACAUUAACAAAAUUUCUCCCGCCUGCCAUUUAGAGAAACUCCUUCUCCCGCCUGCCACAAAAGCUUUGUAAAAAGACCAGUGUACCCCUAGACGAAUUGGCUUCUCUGUCUUUGUGUCCUGACUGUUUUUUUUUUCAUUAUCUCUUUCUCAUCUUCUCUCUUCUUUUUCUUCUUCCAACAACAAACAGUUUCAGCGGACCAGAUCCAACGGACGAACUCCGGCGGACCAGAUCCGACAGACCAGAUCCGAUAGACCAGAUCCGGCGGACCAUAGUUAAUUCUGGUCCAAAUUCGGCAGACCAGAUUCGACGGACCAGUUCCGACAGACCAUAACUCCAGCAGACGAGUUCUGGCAGACCACAAUCAGUUCUGAUGAACUAUAACCAGUUCAAACAGACCAAAUAUUUGGCGGACGAGUUCAGGCGGACCAUAGUCAGUUCCUACGAACUUAAACCAGCUCCGGCAUAGCAGAUUCAGCUGACCAAAUAGACCAUAUACGAUAGACUAGUUGUGGCAAACCAUAUCCGGCGAAUCAUUGGCCGGCGGACAAAAGCUAGUUAUGAUAGACUUGUUCUAGGUGACAAAAAUCGGCGGACCAGUUCUGGUGACCUGAUUCGGCGGACUAACUAGACGAUGAAACAAGUGAUGCGGUUAUUACACUAUGGACAAUACAUUUUUCUGUAGAUGGACAAGAUUCGGCGAACCAAUGUAGUGGACCAGAUCUUGUUAUGGCGGAUCAGAUGUAGUGAACCAGAUCUUGUGGACGAGAUCUUUUUUUUUUUUUGUCUAUCGUUUUUUUGUCUUUGCUUCUUCACCACCCACAACUUCCACAAAAUCUCUCUACUUGUCCUCCAUUAGCACCCACCAAUUUGUACAGAUCUGGUUUACAUUGUGCCCCUAAAUAAAUCAAAACUUUAUUUGUGUCCUUCUAUAGAACGUCUGUGGUGGAGGACCAAACUCCUGGUUUUGGUACCCAAACGAGAGUUGUCUCUCAAAACUUCUCAAUGUAAGUUUUGAUCUACCAGAUCUUUUGCACUCAAUAUGUCCAUCAACACAGUUGUCCAAUAUUAGCUACUGCUGCCAACACAAAAAGCAAAGUUUCUCUCUCCAAUGUCCAGGGCAAAAUCGUCCAAGUUUCAUCCUUUGUGGCAUGAUUUGAAAGACAUUUUCAAUAAUGGCAGUUUCACAAAAUUGAGUUUCCAAAAUGGCAUAGCCAAUAAAAUUCCCUUAAAAAAAUGACAUUGCUUAUAAUACAAUAUCUUUUAAAAUCUAGAAUGGAAGAUUUUAAAUCUCUCGAGAGUAAUUAUCUCUAGACUAUAUCACAAUAUUAUGCAACAUAAGAUAAAAAGAAAAGAAUUGUCGUUUUUAUCUCAUUCAGUAUCUUGAAACAUACUCCCUUCGUUUCAUAAUAAGUGUCAUUUUAGACUUAACUUUUUGUUUCAAAAUAAGUGUCGUACUUUCAAUGUAGAUGUUUGGUACGUUUUCUAGUUUUAUCCCUAUUAAUUUAAUGUAUUAACCAAUAGAAAAAUUUAUAUGAUACAUUAAUAAGUAAUGAUUUUCUUAAGUUGUGUGAAAAUAUCAAGAAUGACAUUUAAUUUGAAACUGAAGGAGUAUGUUAUAAUCAGAAAAUAUGAAUGUUCACGAUUUUUUAAUAGACCACACAAUACAUGUAUAUAUAGGGAAAAUUUUAUUUUAAACUUUCAAAGAGUCACUUAGUAGCACUUUAAACAUCGAGAGAAUUUCACUAACACUAUUAACCACCAAAGUAAAUUUACAAACACUUUAAACCUUAAAAUUAGCUUUUAUAUUUGGAUUGCCAUAAAAUAAAUAGUUUUGUUUGCCAACAUAAAAUAGUUAAAUUAUAUUUGUUUACUUUAAAAUUUAAUAGUUUUAUCGUUUUGAGAAAAACUUCAACUAUUACGACUACUCACAUUCCGAUGUUAUAUAUAGUGGCGUAUGUAGAAUUAUAUUUUGAGUGGGGCACAUACACUUUUUUAUUGUAAAAAUUGUAGUAUAAACAGAAUUAUCAUCUAACAUGUUGGUAUUACAAAAAAGGUUUUCUAAAAUGUGUAUGUGGCAGUUACCCCACCUUCAUCUAAGGUAGAUCCGCCACUAUAUAUCUAUCUCCACAAAUUAUGAUUCAAACUGAUUAAUUUCUCAUUAGAAAUCAAAGAAUCUUCCAAAAAUAUGUAUAUAGGUAAUAUUACAUCUUUAACCGAUUAAGAUGCGGAUGUUUUUUCUGGUUUCUGAAGAGAAAUCAAUCGAUUUGAAUCAAAACACAGUGGAGAUGCAUUGUGUCUACGAGAAAAAUGAAAAAAAACUAUGAAAUGAAUAUAAUUUCUGUAAGGUUUGUGGUCAGACGGUGAGUAAUCGAUAAAUAAAGUAUUAAUUUAAAAUUUAAUUAAACAUACAUAAUUUAAAUAUUUUGUGUUGGACGAAAAUUACUAUUCAUCAUUUUUACGGCAGUGCAAACAUAGAAGCAAGUUUUAAGGUAUCAAGUGUUAGUAAAAUCACAUGCUAAAGAUUUUUUAUUUUUGAGGUUUAAAGUGCUAAUCAGUGAUAUUUUGAAGUUUUGGUGACGGUUAAAAAUGUGAUUUUUCCUAUAUCUUAUUAUAUAAACCUUGGUUUUCAAAGUCAGCCAUUAACAAGAUCGUAACAUGUGUCAAUUAUAAACAAUAAGAUGUUGACACGUGUCGAUUCUAAUUUUGUUAAUAUUUAGAUAAAAUAGAAAUAUUAUUAACCCUAUCGAAAAAAGAAAUAUAUAAAAUAAAUAUUAUAAAAAAUUAUAUAUUAAGAAAUUAUUAAUAAAAUUAAACAAAUAACCUAAUUUCAGUUAUGUCAAUUUGGUUUAUUAAUACGAUAGGGAUUUAAAAAUUAUAAUUAACAAGAAUAUAUGUCAGUUUUUGUUUACAAAAGAGGAUUAAGGUUUAAACUUUAAUUUUACAAUCAAAACAUGUUAUUUGUUGCUUUGGGUAUAUAAAUGAUAAAUGAGAAUUAAGCUCUAUCUUUGUAAAUUAAAAUUAUGGUUAAAGUUUAACAAUUAAACGAGAUUAUAUGUCGAAACUUGGUUUUUAAAUUUACUAACUCACGUGAUCAUGAUAAGUGUCAAGUAAAACAUAAGAUGUUGCAACAUGAUAUAUCUAAUUUUCUUAAUAUUAAGAUAAAAUAGAUUUUAAAAAAAUAUUAAAAAUAAAAUAGAUAAAAUAAUUUUAAAAAAUUAAAGAGAACUUUUAAGAAAUACCCCUUUUGGUGUACCCCUUUUCAAAAAAUACCCCCUUUAUCUAUCCAUUUUCAAAAAUAUCCCUGUUUAAAUAUGAAAAAUUAUAAACUUUUAUAUGGUUUAUAAGGUACUUCUAUAUAAUAACUACUACUUAGAAUUUGAUACAAAUAUUUUCUAAUGUUUUAAAAGGUUUUAAAUCUUUUUUACAAGUUUUAUAAGGUUUUUAAAAAGGUUUAAAAGGUUUUGAAAAAGUUUUUAAAAGGUAUUUAUAAGUUAUUUUACGCUAUUUAUGAAAGAUAUAUAAAAGUUUAUACAUAAAAAAAGAUAAUUUGUUUGUAUAUUUAUAAGUUUACACACAUAUUUGGAUAAGUUUCAAUAUUUUUAGUGGUUGGUUUGAUGAAGUUUGAAAUAGGGGUACUUUUAAAAAGUCGUACUGGAAAAUUGUAUUUUUGAUAAAUUUAAAAGUAAAAAAAAUUGAUAUUUAUCAAAAAAAUAUGUGUAAGCUUAUGUAUAUAGAUACAAAUUAUCUUUAUAUGUGUGUAAAUUUAUAUCUAUAUUUCAUAAAUACUACAUAAAUAUCUUUUGAAUAUUAUUUAAAAGCCAUAUAAAAACUUUGUAAACCUUAUAAAAACCUUAUAAAAGUCUUACAUGCCGUUUAGAACCUUUUAAAAUUUUAUAAAUAUUUGUAUUGAGUCUCCCAAUAGUACUGAUGAUUUAGAUGUACCUUAUAAACUAUAUAAAAGUUUACAAUUUUUCAUAUUUGAAAAAGGUAUUUUUAAAAAUGGAUAGAAAAUUGGUGUAUUUUUAAAAAAGGGUAUUUUUAAAAAUGGAUAGCAAUUUCAUUGUCUAAAACAUUAGGGUGAAUAAAAUAUUUCGAAAAUAAUAUUUUUUUAGCUUAAAUUAAAGAUAACAAAAGUUCAAUAUAAUUUAUAAUAUAGUAAUUUGAAAAUAUAUAUAUUUUUAAAAAUUUGUAGUUUUUUAUAAUUCGAAUAUGAAAGAUUUUUUAAUGUUUUCCUCAACGAUGCUAUAAUUUAUUUUAGAAUCUUUAUGUUUAUUUGCGUUGUUUAUAUGAACUUCUUUACAAAUGACUAUAUUUGUAUUUAACAUCAUAUUUUAGAUUGAUGUUAAUUUGAAAGAAAUUUACCAUCAUAUUAAAUAAUAAUUAAUUAAUUUUCAUAGUCUGAGAAUGAUUUUUUGAAAAAUUGAAAGUUAAGAAAUAACAAUUUUUACAAAAUGGUAUAAUCAUUUUUAGAGGAUAAUUGCUAAAAUAAGAUUUUUUAAAAUAUUUUAGCAAUAUUAUGAAUAAUGGCGAAUAGUUCCCAAAUGUUUUGGUGAUUGUCAGUUUGACAUUACUUGAUUUUUAUAAUUAACGUUUAAUAACCAAUUUAAGAUAUAUAUACACAUUUAUUUGAUACUUCAAACCAAAUAAAAUCUCUUUCCAAAUGAAAAUAAUUUCUCUUAUUUUUUCAAAAAAAAAUUGGAAAUUAUUUUUUUAAGUGAUAAUAAAUUUUAAUUUUAAUUUAAUUUUAAAUAAAAUUAACCCGUCCAUCGGACGGGUACUAAACUAGUAUAAGAAGAAAACACCAAAUAAAUUUUAUCUGAUAUGGAUUUGAUGCUAGCCUUGUACAAUCUUAUAAACAUAUCUUAUAUUGCAAUGUUUUCAAACUUUUUAAAUGAUGUAUUAGGUUUAGAACUUGAUUGGUUCUACCGCUCUAAACCUCUCGAAAUCGUUCAAUUUCAAAAGUUUUUUUUUUUUUUUUUGGACAAACUAAGAAUUUCAAAAGUUUUUUUCUCGCAAACGCUUACAAAAAAAAAACAUACAUAAACAUUUAUUAAUUAAAAUAGAUAAUAUCAUAUUCUAUAUAUAUUCACGUUAAUUCUCAUUGGCAUUUUUUUAACCUUAAUCUUGAAAGAAUAAUAUUUUUUUUGGGUUGAUUUUAUAAACUCAGGUUCGAUUCAAAAACUUUUACUUGGCAUGUGCUCAUUACAUCUCUGUUUUGUAGAUGUUCAUAUUAUGUAAUCAUAAGAUUUAGAAGACUAUAAAUAAUUGAAUAAAUUUAUUUAAUUACAAAAUGUAUCCUAUUGAGAAGUACAUCAAUAAUUCUCAUUUUAGGCUUUUUUAUCUUCCAAGUUGCCAAAUGGUUUAGUAGUAGAAGGUGACCCUAAUAGAGACGAUACCAAAAUUCCCUCUGAGCCUACACGAGCACCUAAUUGUUCGAUCAUAUUAAAGAUAUGUCUCUUAACUUUUUAAAACUAGAAAAAUUAAAUCCUAAUUGAUCCUUAAUCUCUAUAUAAAACGUGUGCCAAGCCAAACCAGUAUAUAGAACUCAAACUCGGAUUUGUAUUUUAUGAUUUACACUUCCGGAUAAAUAAGUUGAGCUAAACCAUCACAAGAAGUUUUCUUUAUUAUUCAAGAUGUGAAGUAUCAUUAAGUAUUUAAGCAUACAUGUAUAUACAAUUAGAUAUAUGAUUAAGUGGAUAUCGAUUGGUGGUAUUAGUUGGGGAGAUACUAGACAUUAAAUACGUAUAUAGUAAGGUUUAGACAAUGUACUUACAAUUCCAUGUGAGCCAACUUGAUUUUGCUAUCUACAUUUUCACCGUUGACUUUUGUCGGUACCGUUGACUCUCACUACUUGUUCUAAAUUUUUUUUUUUCAUAGGUUUAAUACUUCUAGUCUUCUACCCAUGGUAAAUGUGAGUGUAAAAUACUGAGCACUAGUUAGACCAUCAUUAACAAGGGGUUCUUAAAUAAAUCUUAAGCUAAAAAAAGUUAAGAAAAGGUAAGAAAAGUUAGUUUAUGUCUCUUGUAUAAGAGAUAUUUAAUCACUUUUCUUAGUUUUUUUGUACUUUUCUUAACUUAAGAUUUUGUUAAAACCCCUUGAUAAUCAUGCUCUAAGAAAACAAAAUUUAAAAACACAACAUAGAAAAGUAGAGACUAGAACAAAUAUUUAUUAGUACAACCAUAUUGGUAAAAAUUUCCAAAAUAAUGGUAAAAAGUAAAUUAUGCAUUACGUAGCACUAGGACUUUGGUUAAUUUGGUUAUUUCAGUUCGGUUAUUUUGGUUUUUUUUUUUAAACUAGUUUUCCGGUUAUGUAAAGAUAAACUUCUGUUUUUUUUUUCAAAUGUCUUGGUUGUUUCAAAUUUGAUUAUUUCGGGUAAUUCAAUUAUUUUAGAUGUAAAUUUUGGUUAUAUUGUUUAAAAAAUAUUAAAAAAAUGAAAAAAUUGGUUUACAUAAAUAACCUAAUUAUUUUGGUCUUCUGAAUUUUUCUUUUUCUGCCAAUAAUUCAACCGCCAUAACCGAAGCCAAACCGAACACCAAGAUAUCGGUUUUAUCCGGUUCGAAUAAUAUUAUUAAGGGUCAACGUCAAAGUAGAGAGACUAGAACAAAUAAGUAUUGUCAAAUCUCUAGCAUAUGAUGGUGAUAUAUGCGGAUGUGAUGUGGUUUGAAAAUAUCAACAAGUAUUGGAUAAUAAUGGAAAGUAAUUAAAUGAGCAAAAAACUAUAGAUAGAUCGAAACCUAUUGAAAAGUCUUAUGAACUAAAUAAGUUGUGUAGAUCUAUUUUGACUUAGUAGCAUAGAAAGCAAAAAAUUUCAUUAAAUGUUUCCCUCCAAUGGCUCAACGGCCCCAAACGCGUAGAACGUAACAUGCAUGGGGAUGCAUAUUAAUGGCUUCUUCGUCCCACUUGCUUGUUUUUUUAGAGCUUUGAAGAUUUCAUUUAUCUCCCUAUAUAAGGGAAUGUUCAGUUCCAGUGAGUGAGACACGACAAGAGAGACACAUACAAAGAGAUGGAGCUUAAGAGUGUUACUUGUUUGGUUCUUUCUUUGGUUUUGCUUAAUUUGGGUGUUGAGUGUGUUCUUGGAGAUGGAUCUGUGGUUGGCCCUGAGAGGUAUAGAGACAAUGAUUGUAGGUGGGGGCGGAGGUGUGGUGGACGUGGCCGGUUUGGACGCGGUGGUGGAGGAGGGUUUGGUGGUGGAGGAGGUGGAGGGAUUGGUGGUGGUUCUGGUCAGGGUGGUGGGUUUGGAGCUGGAGGUGGUGUAGGCGGUGGUGCUGGUGGAGGCAUUGGUGGUGGAGGGGGAGCUGGAGGUGGUGGGGGUGGAGNNNNNNNNNNNNNNNNNNNNNNNNNNNNNNNNNNNNNNNNNNNNNNNNNNNNNNNNNNNNNNNNNNNNNNNNNNNNNNNNNNNNNNNNNNNNNNNNNNNNNNNNNNNNNNNNNNNNNNNNNNNNNNNNNNNNNNNNNNNNNNNNNNNNNNNNNNNNNNNNNNNNNNNNNNNNNNNNNNNNNNNNNNNNNNNNNNNNNNNNNNNNNNNNNNNNNNNNNNNNNNNNNNNNNNNNNNNNNNNNNNNNNNNNNNNNNNNNNNNNNNNNNNNNNNNNNNNNNNNNNNNNNNNNNNNNNNNNNNNNNNNNNNNNNNNNNNNNNNNNNNNNNNNNNNNNNNNNNNNNNNNNNNNNNNNNNNNNNNNNNNNNNNNNNNNNNNNNNNNNNNNNNNNNNNNNNNNNNNNNNNNNNNNNNNNNNNNNNNNNNNNNNNNNNNNNNNNNNNNNNNNNNNNNNNNNNNNNNNNNNNNNNNNNNNNNNNNNNNNNNNNNNNNNNNNNNNNNNNNNNNNNNNNNNNNNNNNNNNNNNNGACAUGGUGGUGGAUUUGGUGCUGGGGGAGGAGUUGGAGGUGGUGCCGGAGGAGGACUUGGCGGUGGUGGUGGUGCCGGAGGUGGAGGUGGACACGGUGGAGGCCUUGGAGGAGGUUUUGGGCACGGUGGUGGCGCUGGAGGAGGUCAUGGGGGAGGAGUAGGCAUUGGGAUUGGUAUAGGAAUAGGUGUUGGGGUUGGUGGAGGCUCCGGUCAUGGUUCCGGCAGUGGAAGCGGUAGCGGUGGUGGUGGCCAUUAAUCAAAACGACUUAUUAUUACUACUCAUCUUAGUACUUUUAUGUCCUCUUGCAUUUGUUUUUAAUCACAAAACACCAAAAAAACAUGUAUGAUACAUCAGUUUUCAUUUCAAAAUGUGAUUUCUCCUAUUUUUGUUUAAGAAUGCUUUCGAUAAUCACAAUAAGAAAAUAUUGUUCAAUACGGAUUGAUCUUAAAUGUUUUGAAUGAAAGGAACAUAUCUAUAUUUUCAAUGUGUAACAUACAAAGAGGGCCAUUUACUUCAAUUUUGAGGUCCUAUUUAGUCAGAUAUUUCUCCACCAAACUCACAUAAAAUGAAUAUUAUAGCUAUAUGGCCAACUUCACUUAUUUUAUAAGCAACAUUUACAGCAGAAAAUUUACUUCAUUGGCCAAUGUUUAUUUUUGAAUUCAUUAUUUGCUUUAACUUUUCAUUUUCUGUUCAUAGAUGAAAUCUCUUACAAGCACCAUUGUUAUCUUUCCAAACUCGGUGAUGAUGUGGUUAAGUACAUCAGGACAAUUAGUUUUCUAUACAAUGCUUUUGUUUGCUAUAGUGCGUCAAGAGCGAUAGUAGUGUGUAUCAUCAUGGUUUCCAACGUUUUUUAUUUGAGAUAUAUUGGGAGCAAGAUGUGUAUUUUGCAUAUUAACUGUUAUGAACCGUCAGAGUCCGAUACUGAAGUAAACCCGUAAAGCUCAAGUCGAAGAAUAUUCUAAAAGUAUAACAAAGAUUAAGAAAUUUAGAAUAUUUACUUAUUCAUUUUUAUCUAUUUCAUUUUCUAAUUAGGUUAAACAUAAAAUUAACAUAUAUACCAUGACCUAUUCCUAUACCAAUUGCAUGCAUAUAUGUUAACGAUUAGGUUUCUAACAAGUAACAUGUAUAAAACAAGAUUAUAAUAUUUUUAAGAGAAUGUGUAAGAGUCAAAAUUACUUUUGUUUUGGAUUUUGUAUAAUAAACGACGUAUGUGUUUUAUAAUACCAACAACUUUUUGUAUUUCUUAUCUUAUACCAAAUAAUUAGAAAAUCUAAGCAAUUUAAACCGAAGUUAAACCGGAAUUUGGAUUGGGAGGUGCUCAUAACAAACAAUUAUAUUGUUCUCUGCUUUCAAGAAAUGCUACUUUCUCCUUCUUCGUCAAAUUCUCUUUAAAGAUUCAUUAACGACGCUUCAGGUAUCUAUCUUUGAAGAUCUGAUCGGAGAUUAGUGAAAAUUAGGGUUCUUUAGAUUAGGGUUGGCGCAAAAAGUAUGGAUAGGAUCAGUAAUUUACCAGAGGAACUUGCUUGUCACGUAAUCUCAUUCCUUUCAACAAAAGACGCAGCGAGGUUGAAGUAUGCUUCCAAGAAAUGGUAUAAUCUUGUUACCAUCAUACAGAGUUGUGUUUUUGCUGAUUCGUACUAUCCCAUCAAUGGAAGUUUCGAAGUUUUCGCUGCUCGAUUACUAUCUCCUCGACAUGACCAGAGUCACCACCGUAUGAGAAGAUUCUAUCUAAAGCUCACGUCUUCGUCUUUGGAUCCUUCUCAGUGUGAUACAGUCAACGAGUGUUUACUUAGUGUGUUCAAGCGUGGUGUCUUGGAUCUUGAACUCCACAUCAAAGGACGUUAUGAUCAUUACUACUCACUGCCUUCAGAGUUGUUCACUUGCAAGAGCGUUGUGAAACUGAGACUAGGCUCUGGUUUUGUUAUUGAUCUUAUCCCUAGUACUGCUCUGCUUCCUUCUCUCAAGUCUCUCUUUCUUGAUUCAGUUAUGUUCGAUGAUACUACUGCGUUUACAAGGCUUAUCUCUGCUUGUCCUGUGCUUGAGGAGUUACUCAUACAUGGCUUCAACUGUGAAGAUUGGUACUGGUCUCGCGUUGUAUCUAGUCACAUCCUUAAGAGACUUACUAUUCGACGCCAAGAACUGUAUCACGAUGGAGCUAGUUUUGACCCUAUCAGUUUUGAUAUUCCGAGUCUUGAAUACUUGAUUACUUAGAUGUUCUUAGAGAUCAUUAUCCAGUUGUUAAUCUCAGUUCACUUGUUGAAGCUAAGAUAGAGCAUCGUCCUCUUUACAAUAGGGAUAACUAUGAUGUUACCAAUCUGAUUAAAGGGUUAAAGAAUGUUCAGAUUCUUACCAUAGGAGCUGUUGACACAUUGGAAGUAAGUGUUGUCUCUUUAAUGAUCUGUUUGUUAUUGAAGUUAUGACUCCACUGAGACUAAUUGUCUCUUUCAUGUAAUAGCUGUUUUGGGAGUUUCCUGAAGCUGUCCCAGUGUUUGAGAACCUGUUUCAUUUAUCAGUAUGUACUCUGCUUACUCUUCUUAAAAACUCUCCAAAUCUUAAGACUCUCACCAUUGAGGUAUGAACAAGAAACAUCCCAAAUAGUCCAUUGGAGAAACAAAAGAAUCGAAAACUCACAAAAUCUUUUUUGCAGGCUUUGCACUAUCAUACUAGAAAAGGUGAUGAGGUGUCUCUUUGCCAAUGCUUGGAGGGUUACUCGUUUCUUUUGUCCUGCCAUAUUGAGAUAUUAAAGAUAAACCAAUUCUAUGGAUAUAUUGGAGAAAUGGUGCAAAUAAAGCAUAUCUUGGAGAAACUGCAGUAUUUGGUGUUGUUGGAAGUUCAUGUUGAGGGAAGAAGUGAUGAUGACCUGCAGAUCUUGGUGGAUCUCUUAAUGCUUCCCAGAGCUUCAUCUAAAUGCAAAGUCCAGGUCAUGUUCUCCUGAACAAACAUACGUGCAGUGCACGGUUCUGAUAAAAAGAAACUUACGUGCAAUGCACGGUUCCUGUUUGCUGUUUUGUUUUGGAUCUUUCAUACAUAGACUACUGUUUUUUUCUAAAGUUCAGUAAUUAAUGCUGCUAUGUAGCCAGCUUCAGUCUUUUGUUCGAAGAUUACAAUUCAUAAACAAUCAUAACGUUUAAAUUCACUAGCACAAUUGCACAAACCAAACAAGCCUUAGCAUAAUACGAUAUGGUAUAUAUAUCCAUAGGUGUGUUUCUAAUUAUUUAUUCACAAGCCAAUUUAGUGUCGAAGCUGCUCAAGCAAAUAGUAAAGGCUUGAAAGGCAGAGAGAGGGUAGCUAUAGUCCAUAGUGAACAUGUCCUUACCCACUUUCCCAAACUGUAGUAU